rnacentral:lncRNA from 1 species
GUAUUGAUUUCCUGCGAUGUAAAAAAACAUGCAGAAAACAUCAACUGGCACUUGGCACUAUGUUAAUAGGUUAGUACCAAAAAAUGAUAUAAAAUGAUUAUAAAACAUCCAAGAUUGAUAAUAUAACAACAUGGAACAAUCAAAAAUUAUAGAUACGUUGGAGACGCAUCAGCAUCCCCAAGCUUAACUCCUGCUUGUCCUCGAGUAGGUAAGUGAUAAAAACAGAAUUUUUCAUGUGGAAUGCUGCCUAACAUGUCAUCUCAUAUUCUUUUCUUUAUAGCAUGGACAUUUGGACUUUUAUAAUGUUCAAAGCAAUAGUCUAGUUUUGACAUGAUAACUUAAAUACUCAAGCAUACCAACAAGCAACCAUGUCUUUCAAAAUAUCAACGCUAAAAUAAGCUAUCCCUAGCCCAUUAUGCUCAAUCAUUGAUCCAUUCAUGAAACACACUCGCAUAUUAACUACACCCAAUGCUCAAGUACGAUCAUAGUGCCUACUAGUUGGUGCUUUAUAAGAGAAGAUGGAGACUCAAAUUAAAAAUAAAAAUUGCAUAAAGUAAAAGAAAGGCCCUUCGCGGAGGGAAGUAGGGAUUUGUAGAGGUGUGAGAGCUCAAAGCGAAAAUUGAGAGAUAAAAGCAUUUUGAGAGGCAUACUUUUCCUACCAACGAAAACGACUUAGAGUUCCCAACACUUUCCAUGCUAGAUAUAUCAUAGGCGGUUCCCAAACAGAAAUUAAAGUUUAUUCCUUUUUCAACCGUACUUUCACUUUCCAUGGCUAGCCGUAUCCACGGUUGCCCUCCAUACCAACACUUUCCAAGGAAUUUAUUAUUUGACAACAUAAAGUAAAUUCAUUUUUCAUUUCAGGACUGGGCAUCCCUAAUACCUUUUCCUUACUCUUGUGCAAUGACAAGUGAAUAAACACUCAUCGUGAGAAUAACACAUCUAGCAUGAAAACUUUUAGCCACCCCUCACCGCCUUGUUAGCGGAACGAGCACACAAAAGAGAAAUUUAUUUUGAAUAUUAGAUAUGGCACAUACAAAUUUUCUUAGAAUGGCAAAAGCAUACCACAUAUAGGUAGGUAUAGUGGACUCAUGUGGCAAAACUGGUUUAAAGGUUUUUGGAUGCACAAGUAGUGAUCAUACUUGGUGCAAAAUGAAGGCUAGCAAAAGAUUGAGAGGCGACCAACCAAGAAAUGAAUAAUCUCAUAAGCAAGCAUUAAGCAUCAUUAACACCAAAUAAUGCACCACAAGUAGGAUAUAAUUUCAUUGCAUAAUUAUUGACUUCCGUGCUUGCAUAGGGAAUCACAAACCUUAACACCAAUAUUCUUACUAAAGCAUAAUUACUCAUCAACAUGACUCACAAAUCACAUCAUCAUAUCUCAAAACUAUUACUAAGAAUCAAGUUUACUUUGUCCAAUGAUCUUCCUGAAUUUUUUAUUAUAUCCUUCUUGGAUAUCUAUCACUUUGGAACUAAUUUUCAUAAGUUGCUUUUGAUAAGCUCAAACAAAUAUAAGUGAAGAUCAUGAGCAUAAUAUUUCUUUCUCUCAAAUUAAUUUAAAUGAAGCAAGAGAGAAUUUCUUGAAAAAAAUUUAACUCUCAAAGAAAUCUAAGUGAAGCAAGAGAGCAUUUCUUCAAAAAUACUAAAGCACGCCGUGCUCAAAAAGAUAUAAGUGAACACUAGAGCAAGUCCAUAGCUCAUAAAAAUUUAAGUGAAGCAUAGAGAGCAAUUCUAACAAGUCAUGGCAUAAUUUUGGCUCUCUCAAAUAGGUGUGUCCAGCAAGGAAUGAAGACUUAAAACACAAAAUAAAACAAGCAAAGACUCUUAUCAUACAAUAUGCUCCAAGCAAAACACAUAGUAUGUGACGAAUAAAAAUAUAGCUUCGAGUAAAAUACCGAUGGUCGUUAGAAGAAAGAGGGGAUGCCACUCGGGGCAUCCCCAAUCUUAGUUGCUUGCUCUCUUUUGGAUAAUAUCUUGGGAUCCCGGGGCAUCCCCAAGCUUAGGCUCUUGUUACUCCUUAUUCCUUCAUCCAUCGUAAGAUAACCCAAAACUUGAAAACUUCAAUCACACAAAACUCAACAAAACCUUCGUGAGAUCCGUUAGUAUAAGAAAGCAAAUCACUACUAUAAGUAUUAUAGCAAAACAAUUCAUAUUUUGUUCUUGCAUUAUAUCUAUCUUAUUCCAACUUUUCUAUGGCAAAAACUCAUCAAAGAAAACCAUAGAUCCAUCAAAACAAGCACACAACGCAAAGAAAACAAAAUCUGUCAAAAACAGAACAGUCUAUAGCAAUCUGGAUAUUCCGAAUACUUCUGAAACUCCAACAAUUCUGAAAAAUUAGGAUGACCUGAGAAAUUUGUAUAUUAAUCUUCUUCAAAAAGAAUUGGCAUUUUAUCACGCUCUGGUAAAAAAUGAGAAUUGUUUUUGUGAGCGCAAAAGUUUCUGUUUUUUCAGCAGGAUCAAACAACUAUCACCCAAGAAGAUCCUAAAGGCUUUACUUGGCACAAACACUAACUAAAACAAAAAAACACAAUCAUAAAAGUAGCAUAAUUGUGCAAACACUCAAGAACAGAAAACAAAAAGCAAAAAUAAAUUUUUCAUUGGGUUGCCUCCCAACAAGCGCUAUAGUUUUACGCCCUUAGCUAGGCAUAAAGCAAGGAUCUAAGUUUUGUCAUCUUUGUUUCGAGAUCCAUAAGAUGCCCUCAUGAUUGAUUCAUAUGGUUGCCUAAUUCUUGUCUAGGGAAGUGUUUCGUACUCUUCCCCAAAGGAAAUUGGAACUUAAUAUUGCCUUCUUUCAUAUCAAUCACGACACCGAUAGUGCGUAAAAACGGUCUACCAAGAACAAUUGGACAAGACGGAUUGCAAUCAAUAUCAAGAACAAUAAAAUAUAUGGGCACAUAAUUCCUAUUUGCAAGAAUAAGAACAUCAUUAAUUCUUCCCAUAGGCUUUUUAAUAGUAGAAUCCGCCAAGUGCAAAUUUAAAGAGCAUUCUUCAAUAUCGGUAAGACCAAGCACAUCACAUAAAGAUUGCGGAAUUAUAGAAACACUAGCACCCAAGUCACACAAAGAAAAACACUCAUAAUUUUUAAUCUUGACUUUGAUAGUAGGUUCCCAUUCAUCAUGCAAUUUUCUAGGAAUUGAAACUUCUAAUUCCAACUUUUCUUCUAAAGCUUUCAUCAUAGCAUCAACAAUAUGUUUAGUAAAAGCUUUAUAUUGUUCAUAAGCAUGGGGGUGAAUUUAUCAUGGAUUGCAACAAGGAAAUAGAAUCAAUCAAAGAGCAACUAUCAUAAUAAAGUCUUUGUAAUCGAAAAGAGUGGGCACAUCACUAGUUAAAGUUUUGACCUCUUCGGACCCACUUUCAUCAAUUUUCUCAAUAAGAUUUUCACCCUCCAAAUUAUUGGGACGCCUUCUAACUAAAGUUGACUCUUCUCCAUUCCCUUUUUCAUCAAUCUUAAUUUUACUAAACUAGGAAUCAAUAGAAGAAAUACCAAUCAUUUUAAGAUCUUCAGCAUUUUUAUGAAAGCAAUCACUAGAAAACGCUUUUUCUAAAAAUUCUCUUUUAGCUCUAAGCAUAGCAGUUCUUUUCUCACUUUCAUGCAUAGAAACAUAAAGAGCUUUAACUGAUUCCUCAACUUUAGGCACAAAAAUUUUCAUCUUGAGAUUUUCUACAUCAUGAGCAAUUCUAUCAACGCUUCUAGACAAAUCAUCAAUCUUAUUCAACUUUUCUUCUAUGGUAGUGUUGAAAACCUUUUGUGUGCUGAUAAGUUUUUUAAUAUUAUUGUCAAGAUCAGAGGUGUUCCUAUUAUUAUUAUAAGAAAGAUUUCCAUAGUAAUUACCGUAAUUAUUGGAGGAAUUACUAGGAAAAGGCCUAGGAUUAAAAUUAGCUCUAUAAGCAUUGUUGUUGAAACUAUUUCGAGAGAUAAAAUUCACAUCUACGGCAUCACUAGUUUGCUCAACCAAAGUAGACAAAGGCAUAUCAUUAAAAUCAAUAGGAGCAAUUUUACUAGCAACCAAUUUCAUAAGAGCAUCAACUCUUUCACUCAAAGAAAAAAUUUCUUCAAUCCAAUUAACUUUUUUACUCGUAGGAGCUCUUUCGGUAUGCCAUUGUGAAUAAUUUUCCAUGAUAUUAUCAAGAAAUUUGGUGGCUUCACCCAAAGUAAUUUCCAUAAAAGUACCACCCGCGGCGGAAUCUAAAAGAUUACGAGAAACAAAAUUCAAUCCCGCAUAAAACUUUUGUAUGAUCAUCCAAAGAUUUAACCGAUGAGUUGGGCAAUUCCUUAGCAUCAUUUUCAAGCUUUCUCAAGAUUCUGCAACAUGCUCAUGUUCAAGUUGCUUGAAAUUCAUAUCUGGGUUCUAAGGGAAAUAAUUUUUGCGGGCGGAAAAUACUUAGCGAUAAAAGCAUCUUUGCACUUAUUCCAAAAUUGAUACUAUUGCGAGGCAAAGAAGAAAACCAAUUUUUUGCAGAAUCACGCAAAGAAAGCGGAAAUAAUUUCAUCUUCACAACAUCAUUGUCCACAUCUUUUUCUUUUGCGUAUCGCAUAAUUCCACAAAGGUAUUAAAAUGGGACGCGUCAUCCUCAUUAGGAGUACCGAAAAAUUGAUCUUUCAUAACAAGAUUCAGUAGAGCGGUAUUAAUAUCACAAGACUCCGCACUAGUGGCGGGAGGAGCAAUCGGAGUGCCAAUAAAAUCAUUGUUGGUAUUUGAGAAAUCGCACAACUUGGUGUUCUCUUGAGUCAUGAUGACUGCGCAACAAGAUUGCACUCAAAAACAGAUCCGGCAAGAAAACGACGAACGAAAAAGAGGGGCGAAUAAAACAGCAAAUUUUUGUGAAGUGGGGGAGAGGAAAAGGAGAGGCAAAUGGCAAAUAAUGUAAAUUGCGAGGAGAUGAGUUUUGUGAUUAGGAACCUGGUAUAUGUUGAAGAUCCUCACCGGCAACGACGCUAGAAAUUCCUUUUGAUUCGGCUUGAAGCUACGUCGAUAUUUCCCCAAAGAGGAAGGGAUGAUGCGGCACAACAGCGGUAGGUAUUUCCCUCAGUGAUGAAACCAAGGUUAUCGAACCAGUAGGAGAACCAAGCAACACAACGUAAACAACACCUGCACAUAAAUAACAAAUACUCACAACCCGACGUGUUAAAGGGGUUGUCAAUCCCUUUCGGGUAACGGCGCCAGAAAUUGGCACGUGGACGGGAGAAAGUUGUAAAUAGUUGAUAGAUCGAACGGCAAAUAAAAUAAAGUGCAGCAAAGUAUUUUUGUAUUUUUGGUUUAAUAGAUCUGAAAAUAAAAGCAAAGGAAAAUAGAUCGCAAAGGCAAAUAAUAUGAGAAAGAGACCCGGGGGCCAUAGGUUUCACUAGUGGCUUCUCUCGAGAAAAAUAGCAAACGGUGGGUAAACAAAUUACUGUUGGGCAAUUGAUAGAACUUCAAAUAAUCAUGACGAUAUCGAGGCAAUGAUCAUUACAUAGGUAUCACGUCCAAGAUUAGUAGACCGACACCUGCCUGCAUCUACUACUAUUACUCCACACAUCGACCGCUAUCCAGCAUGCAUCUAGUGUAUUAAGUUCAUGGGGAAACGGAGUAAUGCAAUAAGAACGAUGACAUGAUGUAGAAAAGAUCUAUCUAUGUAGAGAUAGACCCCAUCGUUUUAUCCUUAGUAGCAACGAUACAUACGUGUCGGUUCUCCUUCUGUCACUGGGAUUAAGCACCGUAAGAUCGAACCCACUACAAAGCACCUCUUCCCAUUGCAAGAUAAAUAGAUCAAGUUGGCCAAACAAAACCCAAAUAUCAGAGAAGAAAUACGAGGCUAUAAGCAAUCAUGCAUAUAAGAGAUCAAAGAAACUCAAAUAACUUUCAUGGAUAUAAAAAGAUAGAUCUGAUCAUAAACUCAAAGUUCAUCCGAUCCCAACAAACACACCGUAAAAAGAGUUACAUCAGAUGGAUCUCUAGGAGACCAUUGUAUUGAGAAUCAUUUGAGAGAGAGGAAGCCAUCUAGCUACUAACUACGGACCCGAAGGUCUACAGAGAACUACUGACGCAUCAUCGGAGAGGCACCAAUGGAAGUGGUGAACCCCUCUGUGAUGGUGUCUAGAUUGGAUCUGGUGGUUCUGGACUCUGCGGCGUCUGGAAUUGAUUUUCUUCGACUCCCCUACGGUUUCUGGAAUAUUGGGGUAUUUAUACACCAAAGAGGCGGUCUAGGGGGCACCCGAGGUGGGCACAACCCACCAGGGUGCGCCUGGGCCUCCUGGCGCGCCCUGGUGGGUUGUGCUCCCCUCGGAGCACCCCCAGGCGCUGCCUUGGCCCAUUGGGUGUCUUGUGGUCCGUAAAAAAUCUCCGUGAAGUUUUGUUGCAUUUGGACUCUGUUUGGUAUUGAUUUCCUGUGAUGUAAAAAACAUGCAGAAAACAUCAACUGGCACUUGGCGCUAUGUUAAUAGGUUAGUACCAAAAAAUGAUAUAAAAUGACUAUAAAAUGAUUAUAAAACAUCCAAGAUUGAUAAUAUAACAUCAUGGAAUAAUAAAAAUUAUAGAUACGUUGGAGACGUAUCAUAAGCAUAUAACCAACUGGAUGCAAAGUAACAUGCAUAGCAACGGUACUUGAUAAUAGACGGUAAACAUGCAUCAGAAAGAACACCACUGCUACCAGCAUGAACUACUACUAUGGAGCAUAACAUGUGAUAAUAAUACUAGCAAGUAAUACAAGAUAACAAAAUGCAUCGGAACAUAGUAUGAAGGUUUACAUGAAACCACGGGCAUAACCGAAACAACGACAAUAGUAGCAAACAAGCAGAUAGAUAACAUGCAAACUUUUAUUAAAUAUUCAAGUAGAAACCAUGGCUACUGCAUGGCUAUCAUGCAAGUGGCUGUUGUCGCUUUCCUGGGGGUGACGGAGACUCUGGGAAGAAGUGCGGUGAAGCCGCGGAACGAAACGUCGGGCGGUUCUCUUUCGGAGGGGGCUGAUUAGAGGCAAGGGCAUAAUGGUCAUUUUCACAGUGUGAACACCUUAUGAGAAUGGCACCAACAGAAAGAUCUCGACGAGACAAAGAAGUGAGCGUUGGUUUCACCUCAAUCGGAGUUACGGUCGCGAAGUUAUGAGGUGUAGAAGAUUAGGGACUUUUCUGUAAAAAGAAUAUUCACAGCCGGGUCCCUGAGUGGAUAAGACAGAG